rnacentral:lncRNA from 1 species
GAAAAACCCUGAUUUUUUUUUCAAAAGUCAUUUCUUUUUCUUUCAUGAAAAGUAACAAUGAACAAGUGUGAUAAGAACACCAGCCAAAACCUGACCCCUGAAAUUUUACUCUGAACUGAGAGCUCCACUUUGAUCAGACCACCUUCCCAAAGCAGCAUGUUGCCCCAUUCUGACCCUGAGAGCACCUGGCAGGUAUGUGGAAAAAAGAAAUGUGCAUUAAAACAGACCAGGUUACAUCACAAUUUUUAAAAUUUCACUGUGGAAAAAGUUACAAACGAAUGUAAACUUACCAGAAGUAAGAAAGAUAUAAUAUUUCCAAACCAGACACAGAGGAAAAUACAUCUAUUUCCUAUCAUUAAAUACUUACAAGAAGUAAAAGAUAAAAAGAAAGAGCCAAUGGAUGUAGGAAGCUUUGGGACCUCUCCUCUCCAGCUAUCUGAGAGAUACUGCUUCCCGCAAACAGUUUGCCUCUGUGAUCCUUAUUUACCUCUACCUUUUCCAUGAGAUUGAGAACACUAUAAGAAAGCCUACAAAUGCUAUGGUUGCACAUACAGAAAAAUCCAAGACCUCAGAGACUUCUUCCCAUCACUCUUUGAUGUAACUGAUUUCUCCCCAUCAGUAUCCUGAUCAUCUGGUUCCUUCAUUUCCUCUGAUCCAGGAUGACCCACCAGUAGGAGGGUGCAACUACCACCAGAGACCUCUGACCUCUGCAAGACAGCUAAUUAUAAUCACAGAUUCUCUUUCUCUAGGUAAAUUGUCAUUGUGGUGCACUUUGGUUUUCCAGAGGUCCACUACCAAAGUUCAUCUUUUCCCCAGAUGCUUCACCAUUAAAAUUAACUUUCUGCCAUCCUACCUUUGGUCCAUCCCUCCCUCUUUCUCUAUUUUCAAAUUCCCUUGGAGUUACUAAUCAAUUUCAGUUUUUAAAAUAUUUUUUGAGCACACCUGCAGUGUAUCAAGUCUUAUGUUGGGUACUAAAUUACAAACCUGGAGAAGAGAAAUAUGGUCCCUAACUUUAUGGAGCUUGUUUAUAAAGAUAGAUAUUAAACAAGCAAUUAAAAAUAAUGAGUGCUACAAAAAGGAAAAUGGUACUGUGGGCAUGUAUAGCAAGAAGCCUAAAACAUGAUGGGGGGUUAGAGAAGAGGUGUUUGAGACAUGGAUGAUGGUCAGGAGUUGGCCAGGCAAAGAAUGUGAAAGAUACAUUAGGCACAUCAAAGAGGGCUGCAUCUUUAAAGGGCUGCAAGCAGUCUAUUGGCCAGAGUGGGAGAGUAAAAUGGAUAUUGAAGAGAAGGUGGGUACCAUAUCAUAAAGUUGUCUCUAAGCUUUGCUAAGAAGUUU